UACGUAGAGUGCAAGCGUUUGUCCGGAAUUAUUGGGCGUAAAGAGCUCGUAGGCGGUCUGUUGCGUCGGCUGUGAAAACCCGAGGCUCAACCUCGGGCCUGCAGCCGAUACGGGCAGACUAGAGUUCGGCAGGGGAGACUGGAAUUCCUGGUGUAGCGGUGAAAUGCGCAGAUAUCAGGAGGAACACCGGUGGGCGAAGGCGGAUCUCUGGGCCUUACCUGACGCUGGAGGC
rnacentral:rRNA from 1 species